GAGUCGUGUAAAUUACUUACGGAUUAUUUUGAUGUUUUUAUUAGCUGUUUGAACUCUCAAUCUGGCGGCACCCAUUCACUGCAGAGGAUCCAUUGGAGGGCAAGUGAUAUAAUGCUAAAUUUCUACAAAUCUGUUGUGUUGAAGAGACAAGCUCAUCUACAAUCUGGACAGCUUGCAAGAGUGCGGAAGAAUAUGGCCUGAUAUGGAUCACCUCAGAUUUAAUAUCUGUGGCGAUUGUCAUCGGCAUCUUCAUUUUUCAGAAGUAAGUGCAUCUCUUUUAUGUCCUUCAAGUUGUUUCUUAAUGCUUUUUAAUACUGGAAGCUAUUUUGCUGUGUCAGUAGUGGCUUUAAUCUUCAAUAUGACUAUUUCUGUGCUCGCACACAUUUGCACGAAAGCAGUCCUUGGCGUUAAUGUUAGGUUGUUUUGUAGUUAGCACGCUUGCUAUAUCUCUGCUGGGCGGCCGGGCGCUUUUCAACUGAUGGCUCUGCUCUUUUCUUCUUGGCAAUCUCUACUUUCCAUUUUCUCUCUGUCCUCUGCUCUUUGCAUGCGCCUGUCCUCCGCUGCUCGCUGAAAUUGCUCAGCUAUCACCUGAUCAGGUGGAAGAUGAGUGGUAUGCGCAGCUACAACCCUGAGCAGAUCAUGCUAAGCGCUGUAGUACGUCGGCCGAGUCGUGACGUCAACCUCAUGAAGGAGAAACUGAUCUUCUCAGGUGAGACUAAUGAGCACACAGCUGUGUGGAGAUAAAGCCUGGUUAAUGGACCCUUAUCACACCGGAAUUGAACACCGGAAGCGCUUGUCGAAGCAGUGUAUCGAUUCUUCCAGUUAUGUAUAUUUUUCAAUAUGCUGUAAUCACUAGUUGAAUAAAAGCCUGUUAAAAUGAGCAUCUGCAGGAUGAUUUCAAACUCCGGACAUUUUCAGAGACAGGCGAAGAAAUAUUCUGAUGAUUACUGUGCACAGAAUUUUCCAAACGCAACGGAACUUGUAGUUUUAAUCCAACGUACCGAUCUGAAAACCCAUGGCUCGUAAACAUUCGUGAUUUCACCACACUGCGUC